GACAGUGGCGGACGGGUGAGUAACGCGUGAGGAACCUGCCUUUCAGAGGGGGACAACAGUUGGAAACGACUGCUAAUACCGCAUAACGCGUAGAGGUCGCAUGGCCUUUACGCCAAAGAUUUAUCGCUGAAAGAUGGCCUCGCGUCUGAUUAGCUAGUUGGUGAGGUAACGGCCCACCAAGGCGACGAUCAGUAGCCGGACUGAGAGGUUGAACGGCCACAUUGGGACUGAGAUACGGCCCAGACUCCUACGGGAGGCAGCAGUGGGGAAUAUUGGGCAAUGGGCGCAAGCCUGACCCAGCAACGCCGCGUGAAGGAAGAAGGCUUUCGGGUUGUAAACUUCUUUUGUCAGGGACGAGCAGAAGACGGUACCUGACGAAUAAGCCACGGCUAACUACGUG
rnacentral:rRNA from 1 species